rnacentral:lncRNA from 1 species
GCCAACAAUAUCUCACAUUUUCUUUAAUCAUUGCCUUUUUUUUUUUAGACAACUUCACAACAAUGUCUUCCUUGAGCUAAAAUGGAUUCCCAAUCAUGAGCUCCUCAAGCUCUAAACUAUGUAAGCCGGUAUCAACAAACUUUGUAUCAGACUCUACCUAGUUUGCUGCUUCUUCCAUGGUUGUUUCUAACUAAUGAUUUUUUUCCUUCUGAGAAUGUAAAGGUGAAAAUGUCUCACAUUGGAAAGUUGAUAAACUUAGCAAGGGAUUAUAAGGCCACCUCCAAGCCAGCAGGCCAAACCCAAAUUAUCCUAAAUUUUAGCCCAAUUUAUCUCCCAACCAAAGAAAAAUAUAUGGCUGAAUUUGGGAAAACCCAAAAGCUGGGCAGAAAACCAAUCAUGCUAUUUCUUGGACUGGAAAUUUUUUUGGUGGAGCCCACUGAGCCAUGACACAACCCACAUGCAAGGAGGCCCUGCAGCUGUUGUGUUGCAGAUGAUGUCGCGCGCUAGUGUUGCAGUGCUUUUUUUUUUUUUUUGGUUUUAUUCCAACAAUAACCCAAACCAACUAUCCAUAUUAAAUUCAAGCUAUUUUAACAAUUAAAAAAAGAUCCAACAGCUGAAAUUUACAUCCAACGGUCAAAAUAAUAUUUUAAAUUAAUCUAAAUCAUACCCAAUCUCAAAA